rnacentral:pre_miRNA from 1 species
CUUGUACUCCCUCCGUCCGAAAAAACUUGUCCCUCAAAUGGAUGUAUCUAGCACCAAGUUAGUGCUAGAUACAUCCAUUUGAGAAACAAGCUUGGGACAAGCUUUUCCGGACGGAGGGAGUAGUAA